CCUACGGGAGGCAGCAGUAGGGAAUAUUGCUCAAUGGGGGAAACCCUGAAGCAGCAACGCCGCGUGGAGGAUGAAGGUUUUCGGAUUGUAAACUCCUUUUGUUAGAGAAGAUAAUGACUGUAUCUAACGAAUAAGCACCGGCUAACGCCGUGCCAGCAGCCGCGGUAAUAAUGAGGGUGCAAGCGUUACUCGGAAUCAAUGGGGGUAAAGAGGGCGUAGGCGGGAUAGCAAGGCAAAUGUGAAAUCCUAUGGGUUAACCAUAGAACUGCAUUUGAAACUGUUGUUCUAGAGUGUGGGAGAGGUAGGUGGAAUGCUUGGUGUAGGGGUAAAAUCCGUAGAGAUCAAGAGGAAUACUGAUUGCGAAGGCGGCAUGCUAGAACAUAACUGACGCUGAUGCGCGAAAGCGUGGGGAGCGAACAGGAUUAGAUACCCGAGUAGUC
rnacentral:rRNA from 1 species